CAUCAGAAGACAUCUACAGCAGCCUGAGUUGACAGGCCGUACUGUCUACUUCCUCGAAAGGAGAUGGUUUCUUCUGAAGUAGAAUAAGUUGUACCAUGGACAUGCUUCAAAUUUUAGUGGCUUUGCUUUUGAAAAUGUGGCACUGGAUUCUGUCAGCUGUUGUGGUACCCGGGAGAUACUUGCCAGAUGUCCCACAACCUCUUGGUGAGAUAGAAAAUGGCCUUUUGUGACAUCUUUCCUGGAAAAAAUCUUCACUUACAAAUGAAUGUCUUCAAGACAGUGGUAUAUAAGUGGAAAGACAAGGAGGAAAAACACAUCACGGCAAGACAGAAAGCUAAAAAAAAUAAAUAGUGCUCUGAUACAAAUCAAACUGCAGUCAACUAAGAAAAAUUCUUUUUUCCUACUUGUUUCUGAAUCUCAGUCUUCCAUAUUGUGCUGUCUGUCAUUUUCUACAAUAAGACAAUAAGGUGGAAAGGAAGCAUUGUACCUUCAUCAGUGUUGCUGCAAGUCCCCAAGAGGCCUGCGAGAAAUUGUUAACUAAGGCCAACAAGGAAGGUGAAAAACAGGAAAGAUGAUAAAGAGGGCAAAGGGAGAAUAACCAUGCAGAAUUUCCUCUCCCACUGCUAUAUGUUAGGUUAAAAUAAU